rnacentral:rRNA from 1 species
GACGAACGCUGGCGGCGUGCCUAAUACAUGCAAGUAGGACGCAGUUGCGAACGGUUGAGUAACGCGUAGGUAACUACCUAUUAGAGGGGGAUAACUAUUGGCAACGAUAGCUAAUACCGCAUACUAGUAGAUGGACCUGCGUUGUAUUAGGUAGUAGGUAGGGUAAUGGCCUAACUAGGCAACGAUACAUAGCCGGCCUGGGAGGGUGAUCGGCCAAAAUGGGACUGAGACACGGCCCAGACUCCUACGGGAGGGAGCAGUAGGGAAGCUUCGGAAAUGGGGGGAACCCUGACCGAGCAACGGCGCGGGGGUGAAGAAGGUUUUCGGAUCGGAAAGCUCUGUUGUGAAGGAAGCGGUACUUAACCAGAAAGGGACGGCUAACUACGUGCCAGCAGCCGCGGUAAUUC